rnacentral:rRNA from 1 species
GAUGAACGCUAGCGAUAGGCCUAACACAUGCAAGUCGAGGGGCAUCACAUGAAGUAGCAAUACGGAUGGUGGCGACCGGCGCACGGGUGAGUAACACGUAUGCAACCUGCCUUCAACAAGGGGAUAACCCGUUGAAAGACGGACUAAUACCCUAUAACACAGGGGUCCCGCAUGGGAAUAUUUGUUAAAGGACAACCGGUUGAAGAUGGGCAUGCGUUCCAUUAGCUAGUUGGCGGGGUAACGGCCCACCAAGGCACACAGGGGAUAGGGGAACUGAGAGGUUAUCCCCACACUGGUACUGAGACACGGACCAGACUCCUACGGGAGGCAGCAGUGAGGAAUAUUGGUCAAUGGACGCAAGUCUGAACCAGCCACGUCGCGUGAAGGAAGACGGC